rnacentral:rRNA from 1 species
UACAGAGGGGGCAAGCGUUGUUCGGAAUUACUGGGCGUAAAGGGCGCGUAGGCGGCCUGCUAAGUCAGACGUGAAAUCCCUCAGCUUAACUGGGGAACUGCGUCUGAUACUGGUUGGCUUGAGUGCAGGAGAGGAACGCGGAAUUCCAGGUGUAGCGGUGAAAUGCGUAGAUAUCUGGAGGAACACCGGUGGCGAAGGCGGCGUUCUGGACUGCAACUGACACUGAGGAACGAAAGCCAGGGGAGCAAACGGG